rnacentral:rRNA from 1 species
UACGGAGGAUCCAAGCGUUAUCCGGAAUCAUUGGGUUUAAAGGGUCCGGUAGGCGGCCCAGUAAGUCAGUGGUGAAAUCUCCCGGCUCAACCGGGAAAUUGCCAUUGAUACUGCUGGGCUUGAAUUACCAGGAAGUAACUAGAAUAUGGUAGUGUAGCGGUGAAAUGCUUAGAGAUUACAUGGAAUACCAAUUGCGAAGGCAGGUUACUACGUGGUGGAUUGACGCUGAUGGACGAAAGCGUGGGUAGCGAACGG